rnacentral:rRNA from 1 species
AGAUUGAACGCUAGCGGGAUGCUUUACACAUGCAAGUCGAACGGCAGCGCGGACUUCGGUCUGGCGGCGAGUGGCGAACGGGUGAGUAAUAUAUCGGAACGUGCCCAGUAGCGGGGGGAUAACUACGCGAAAGCGUGGCUAAUACCGCAUACGCCCUACGGGGGAAAGGGGGGGAUUCUUCGGAACCUCUCACUAUUGGAGCGGCCGAUACCAGAUUAGCUAGUUGGUGAGGUAAAGGCUCACCAAGGCGACGAUCUGUAGCUGGUUUGAGAGGACGACCAGCCACACUGGGACUGAGACACGGCCCAGACUCCUACGGGAGGCAGCAGUGGGGAAUUUGGACAAGUGGGGGAACCCUGAUCCAGCCAUCCCGCGUGUGCGAUGAAGGCCUUGGUUGUAAAGUCUACGUUUUGGUCGAGGGAAGGAAACGGCGGUAGCCCGUAA